AAUUCAAUUUUAAUUCAGUUUUAUUUUUGUAGCGUUUUUAACAAUGAACAUUGUCUCAAAGCAGCUUUACAGAACAUAGGAAACAAAAAACAUACAAAGUCCUAGAUGUUAGACAAAAUCAUCCCUAGUGAGAAGCCUGAGGCGACUGUGGCAAGGAAAAACUCCCUUAGAUGGUAUGAGGAAGAAACCUUCAUGAUUAACCAGACUCAAAAGUGAACCGACCCUCAUUUGGGUGACAAUGGAGUAUGAUUAUAAAUUAUUCUAAACACCGGAGAGUGUGAUUAUAAAUUAUUCUAAACACCGGGGAGUGUGAUAUGAACAAUGUCCUUUCUGCAGUUAUGUACAGUCUACAGUGUGAUACAGAUACAGCAGAUGUAGAAUGUUAGUGUGUAUUAAUUAGGAGGUUGUUGUCAUCCUUGAAGUCCACAUAGGGUCAGCAGCGUUGCUUUGAUAUUCCCAAAUCCUCACGAAGCAGAACCCAGCUGGAGCUGGUCAUCUCUGGAUGCUUCAGGAUCCUCGCAGGGUUGGCCUCUGUCUACUGGAGCUGGUACAAUCUUCAGAUGCCUUGGGAUGGGUAGAAAAAGGAACAGCUGGAAAGGAAUUAGCGUAGCUGCUGUUCAUGAUAUUAGCAGCACUACAUGAUGAUGUGCAUUUGAUCAGAUGUACUGGAGUACGAGGUUAUGGGAUGAAUUAUGUGUAUGCCUGGAUAAAGAGAUAAUCUACGUUUAAACUGGGAGACUGGGAAACACUGUCAGGAAGACUAUCCUAAAGUUUAGGAGCUAAAUACGAAAACACCCUACCCCCUUUUGUAGACUUUAAUAUUCUGGGAACUACCAGAAGUCCAGAGUUUUGUGAUCUUAAAGAGCGUGAUGGAUUGUAGCGUGUUAGAAGACUGGAGAGAUAGGUGGGAGCUAAACCAUUUAGAGCAGGGGUAUUCAACUAAAAUUUAAGUUAGAGAAAAUUUCUUGAAGCAAAGGUCCAGAAGAUCAUAAUGUCUAACUAGUUAGUGUGCUAUAUAUUUAAGUAACCUAGUAGUUUUAUCAACAUCUGCAUGUAAUCAAUACCUGACUGUCAAAUCAAAUGAAUUCAGUACAAUUCAAAAACUUUCUGACAAUAUUUAUUGUCAUGUAACAUACAACUGAACAGAUAUGUAUGACUGUAGAUAUGUAUAAUGUUCUCUCAUUAACUAAAUAAAAGUAGGGCUGCAUUUCAUAAUAAGAGAAAAUAAAUAAAAUGUGAAAAUUGUGUGUUCAAAUAAAGUGCUUAACUUCAGAAAAAUAAAAUAAAGGGAGGAAAUCUUGAAUUUCCCCUUUUCUGUUUUACAUCUUGACUCAAAAGUCUCAACCAAUUUUACAAAUAAUAAAUCUUAACACAUCUUAACAGUUGAACAGUUUUAGAGUAUCACUUUCUUCCCCUCUUAUAUCCCACUCCCCCACUUUUUUGCUCAGUGAGAGAAUUGAGCUCUAGCUUGUGUUCCCAGGAUUUUAAACCUGGGCUUGAAUGGAGUCAGGGCAAUUCUCAUACACAUGUGGAGGUGCUCAUUGGUGAGCCUGGAACGAUAUUUAGUUUUGAUUAUGUUCAUUGUGGAGAAAGCUGCCUCGCAGUUGUAUGUGGAGCCAAACAUGGUCAAGAUGUACAGGGCUACUUUCCUUAGACCUGGGAAAGCUGUCUGAGGGACCAUUUGGAGCCAGAAAGUGGAAGGGUCAGUUCUUACAAACUGCUCUUUCAGGGCCACAUCUGCUUGGAGAUCAACCAAUUGCAUCUGGAGAGGCCCAGCAUUUACCCAUUUAAAGUGCUGUGUGACUUCCGUUGAGAACCCUCUGACAUCUGUGAUGAGAAAUGGGUUCUGAAUGAACAUGGUGAGCUGCUGUCCAAAGCUGAAGCUGUCAAAACGGUUGAUGAAGUUUACAAUCAGCUUAUCAAUAAAGUCAAGUCAACAAAAGAAGAGACAUCUCUCUGUCCCUGAACCUGUUCCUGCACUGCUGGGAAGUGUCUCCCUGCAGGUCUUCCUUGAACACCUCAAGUGUCCUCUGAAAGGAGUGGACACCUGACAAAUUGAAAUGUCCUUGCCCUGUAGCCUCAAAUUCAGUUCAUUCAGAUGUGAAGUGAUAUCAACCAAAAAGGCCACAUUAUCCAUCUGUUUCUCAUUUUCUAAAAAGAGAGAAAACUGUGUUGCUUUCUGACUUAUUAGCCCUGUCAAAAAAGAUGCUACUUCCCUCCUGAUGGACCAAAAGCGUGCUAACACCCUGCCUUUGCUGAGCCAUCUCACAUUGUUGUGCAGCAAAAGAUCAUCAGCAUUGGCAUUAACUUCUCUGAGGAAUUCCAUAAGCAUGUGAUGCUGGUAGGAAGAGGUUGCCCUGAGAAAACUGAUCAUUUUCAUCAUUGUAUUCAUCACCUCAGCAUGCUCAUCUGACAGGGAGGCACAGAGGACAGACUGAUGAAUGAUGCAGUGGUAAGCUAUAAGCUCAGGAUUGUCCUCUUUCAGUCUGGCUACAGCUCCUUUAUCUCUUCCUAUCAUAGCAGGGGCUCCAUCUGUGGCUAUUGAAACUACUUGUUUUGGCUUUAUUCCUCUCUUUGUUAACAUCUCCUUAAUGGCCAGGUAGAUGUCUUCUCCUCUUGUACUGGUCUGAAGGGGACUGACACCUAACAGGUCUUCACAGAAUGCUUUCUGGUCUGUGUUGAAAAACCGACAUACACUAACAGCUGAGCAUUGUCACACGUCAGUGGACUCAUCCACAGCUAAACCUACACAUGAUGCCUUAUGUAUGGCUUCAUCUAGCUGGGUUAGCACAGCUUGAGCUAAUAUUUCACUUUUCUUUGUGGCAGAUGAUGCUGACAUGGGAAUUCGCUUUAUUUUAUUACAAAGCUCUUCUUUUUGUUUUCCCUCAAGUAUUGUUUCAGCUACUGCACUCAUGCAUUCUUUGACAACCCCUCCAUCAGUAAAUGGCUUUUUGUGUUGACCCAAAAUCCAAGCAACUCUGAGGGAACACUGAAGAGCACGUUGUUGGGCAGUGAAUGUGUGGCUCAGGAUCCUGGUGGACUGGUCAUAUUGGGCUCUGAGACUACUUAUUUUCUGUGAUCUCACUUCAGAUCUGAGUGGGUAUGUUUGUUCAUAAUCUUUGUUUUGUCUCAUAAUGGCACUUUUAAUAAGUGCCACGGUUUCUGAACAUAUGAGACACACUGGUUUAGUGCUCCAGUGGGAAGUAUGAACAGAAACGAGUCCAUUCCCGAUUAAAUGCUCUAUUUUCGCGGUCCACUUUUCUUUUUUUGGAGGGCGCCAUUUAUUCCUUAUUUUUCUCUCCCUUUCUCCGUCUCACCCGUCUGUUUCUCUCCCUUUCUCCGUCUCACCCGUCUGUUUCUCUCCCUUUCUCCGUCUCACUCGUCUGUUUCCCUCCCUUUCUCCAUCUCACUCGUCUGUUUCUCUCCCUUUCUCCAUCUCACUCGUCUGUUUCUCUCCCUUUCUCCAUCUCACUCGUCUGUUUCUCUCCCUUUCUCCAUCUCACUCGUCUGUUUCUCUCCCUUUCUCCAUCUCACCCGUCUGUUUCUCUCCCUUUCUCCAUCUCACCCGUCUGUUUCUCUCCCUUUCUCCGUCUCACUCGUCUGUUUCUCUCCCUUUCUCCGUCUCACUCGUCUGUUUCCCUCCCUUUCUCCGUCUCACUCGUCUGUUUCUCUCCCUUUCUCCGUCUCACUCGCCUGUUUCUCUCCCUUUCCCCAUGUCACUCGUCUGUUUCUCUCCCUUUCUCCGUCUCACUCGUCUGUUUCUCUCCCUUUCUCCGUCUCACUCGUUUGUUUCCCUCCCUUUCUCCGUCUCACUCGUCUGUUUCUCUCCCUUUCUCCGUCUCACUCGUCUGUUUCCCUCCCUUUCUCCGUCUCACUCGUCUGUUUCUCUCCCUUUCUCCGUCUCACUCGUCUGUUUCUCUCCCUUUCUCCGUCUCACUCGUCUGUUUCCCUCCCUUUCUCCGUCUCACUCGUCUGUUUCUCUCCCUUUCUCCGUCUCACUCGUCUGUUUCCCUCCCUUUCUCCGUCUCACUCGUCUGUUUCUCUCCCUUUCUCCGUCUCACUCGUCUGUUUCUCUCCCUUUCUCCGUCUCACUCGUCUGUUUCUCUCCCUUUCUCCGUCUCACUCGUCUGUUUCUCUCCCUUUCUCCGUCUCACUCGUCUGUUUCUCUCCCUUUCUCCGUCUCACUCGCCUGUUUCUCUCUCUUUCUCCGUUUCAUUCGCCUGUUUCUCUCCCUUUCUCCGUUUCAUUCGCCUGUUUCUCUCCCUUUCUCCGUUUCAUUUGCCUGUUUCUCUCCCUUUCUCCGUUUCAUUCGCCUGUUUCUCUCCCUUUCUCCGUUUCAUUCGCCUGUUUCUCUCUCUUUGUUUUCUACAUGUAUUGCUAUCUUCCUUUUUCUUUCUACCGUCUUUUCAUGUGUAACUUGCCUCUAGCUCUCUUAUCUGUUUACACUGUAGAGUCGUAAUGUUUAUGUGGGAUGGCUUAACUCGCAUGCAGUUGGUCUGUGCGUUUCCACUACCACUAUCGUAAAGUCUACAAAAAGCUUUCUACAAAAGCUGCGCCGGGGGAAAUAGAAGCACCCCGUCAGGUUUUAAAUCAUAACCUUCUGUUUUGGCUGUAGGUCUGGGUCCGUAUGGGGCGGCUUCUGGGUCUGCACACGGACCGUGGUCCGCCUGUUAGUGACCUAUGAUUUAGAGCCUUGUACAUAUUACAGAGGGUGGAUGAUAACACCAGUGUGUCUUAUGAUGUGUCUUCAGGAGCAGCAGGAGGAGUCGUGUCUCCCAGGGAUUUUGUGAAUGUGCGCAGAGUGGAGAGGAAGCGGGAUUGCUACGUUUCUGCUGGAAUG